rnacentral:rRNA from 1 species
UACGUAGGGGGCGAGCGUUGUCCGGAAUGAUUGGGCGUAAAGGGCGUGUAGGCGGCUGAUUAAGUCUGGAAUGAAAGUCCUGCUUUCAAGGUGGGAAUUGCUUUGGAUACUGGUCAGCCUGAGUGCAGGAGAGGUUAUCGGAAUUCCCGGUGUAGCGGUGAAAUGCGUAGAGAUCGGGAGGGACACCAGUGGCGAAGGCGGGUAACUGGACUGCAACUGACGCUGAGGCGCGAAAGUGAGGGGAGCAAAC